rnacentral:snoRNA from 1 species
UCAAAUGAUGAAUCAAGGCCUUAGGCCUCUUUAUAAACCCAGCUCUUCGAAUGCCAAGGCAUAGUGAGACAAAAAACCGUUCUGAUA